rnacentral:rRNA from 1 species
GACAGAGGUGGCAACGUUGUUCGGAAUUACUGGGCGUAAAGCGUGUGUAGGCGGCCAUGCAAUCGGAUGUGAAAGCCUGGCUCAACCCAGGAAGUGCACUCGAAACUGCGUGGCUUGAGUACUGGAGAGGUUGGUGGAAUUCUCGGUGUAGAGGUGAAAUUCGUAGAUAUCGAGAGGAACACCGGUGGCGAAGGCGGCCAACUGGACAGAUACUGACGUGAGAACACGAAAGGCGUGGGGAGCAAACAGG